rnacentral:rRNA from 1 species
GAUGAACGCUGGCGGCGUGCCUAAUACAUGCAAGUCGAGCGAACGGACGAGAAGCUUGCUUCUCUAAUGUUAGCGGCGGACGGGUGAGUAACACGUGGAUAACCUACCUAUAAGACUGGGAUAACUUCGGGAAACCGUAGCUAAUACCGGAUAAUAUUUUGAACCGCAUGGUUCAAAAGUGAAAGACGGUCUUGCUGUCACUUAUAGAUGGAUCCGCGCUGCAUUAGCUAGUUGGUAAGGUAACGGCUUACCAAGGCAACGAUGCAUAGCCGACCUGAGAGGGUGAUCGGCCACACUGGAACUGAGACACGGUCCAGACUCCUACGGGAGGCAGCAGUAGGGAAUCUUCCGCAAUGGGCGAAAGUCUGACGGAGCAACGCCGCGUGAGUGAUGAAGGUCUUCGGAUCGUAAAACUCUGUUAUUAGGGAAGAACAUAUGUGUAAGUAACUGUGCACAUCUUGACGGUACCUAAUCAGAAAGCCACGGCUAACUACGUG